UAUAAACCCAUUAAACUUCUCCCUCAAAGCAAGGAAACCCUACUCUGUUACUGCUCUUCCUAGGAAGUCAUCGCUACUCAUUGAAACAAACCACGAGGAUGAGUGCUGGUGGUUUGAAGAGCAUGCUGGCUUCGGCGGUUGUAGCUGGGGUUACUGAAGCUAGAGCUAGAAUAUUUGGACAUAUACUUAACCCAACAGGGCAGAGAUCACCCCAUAAGACUUUACGCAAAAAGCUCAUUGGUGAGAAGGUUGCAGAUUGGUACCCAUAUGACAUCAAGAAUGAUGAUCCACUGGUCAUGGCCCGACAAGAACAAGAACGCUUAUCCAAGCUUGAAAUGUUGAAGAGACGUGGUAAGGGACCACCUAAGAAAGGCCAAGGCAGACGUGCUGUUAAACGCAACAAGUAGAGGCUUUUCUAGUGAUGCUCUGAAUUCUUGACUCUGCCUGAUGUUAGUGUGCAUGCCCUCAGACACCCACCCAAACUGAUUCUCCUUACAAUAGUAGACAGGUUCUUGGCAUACCAUGUUGGUCAUCCAUGGGGAACCAAAUUUCAAUAAAUAUAAGAUUGUUGAGCUACCUUUGUCCUACUCCACCAAAAUUUGUCUGAAUUUCAGAAAUUGGAAGUCUGUCAUUUUUUAUGGUAUGUCUCUUUUCACUUUCCCUGGAAAUGGAGAGAGCACUUCAUGUAAAGUCAACAUUGGUUUCUGGCUGCAAUAAACCAUUACACAAUUGCCCAAUUUUGUGUCGCUGUCCUUAGGCAUUACCUUCCCAACUGCUUGAUCAUUUUUGCAGAUCAAAUACUUGCUUGUCCAGACUCAGUUUGGAUGUCAAUGUAGGAAGGGGUGCCACUUUUUUAAACUUAAAUUUCAAUGUCAUAAUGAAUUACCUAGAGGUGCAAGAGGAGUUUUUCUGCCUUGUACUUUGGGCUGGUGGCAGACAAUGGUUGGGUUUAGUACUUCCAUUUAUUUCAAGAUACUACAAGUAUGCAGUGAUGAUAAUUUUCUGAGUUCUCUGAUC